rnacentral:lncRNA from 1 species
CUGGUUCGCAGGCCUGGAGGCACAUUAGAAUCACCUGAGGGGGCUUUUAAAUCCACCCAUGCCUGGGACCCACCCAGAAAUCUCCAGGAGUGCAGCUGAGGUAGGGAAGUUUUUAAAAACUCUUCAGGUGACUGUGAAGCAGAGAGCAUAUCACUGCUCGAGCGUUUCAGAACCAGAAACAAAUAAGUGACACAAGUGAAGAGUGAAACUACAACAUUUCGGAAUCAAAUUGUCAUGUUGGGAGUAGUCCUAUGGAGAGGCCCCGGUGGCAAGAAACUGAGGUCUCCAGCUCUCAGCAAGAACCCGAGGCCUGCUAACACCCACGUGAGUGAGCUCAGACUCAGGUGUGCUCUGAAACCUGCUGCCAGGUGAGUGCAGUUCUUCCCACAGGGAGCCCUGAGAUGACCGCCGCCUCCGGGGAGACCUUGAAUCAGAACCGCCCAGCUAAGCUACUCCUGCAUUUCUGACCCACAGCACAGGUGAGAUAGUAAACGUGUUGCUUUAAGUGGCUUCUUUUUGGGGGUAAUUCAUCAGUCACGCUCGGUAACCAGUACCGAUGCCAUCUACACGUCGUCUUCUCUCCAUCUUCCCCAGAGCUUUCCUCUAUGUGGCCUUCAUGACCAGGCAGAGAUGGCAAAACAGUGGCCGGGAACUCCAGACUCAUGGCCUAGCUCCCUCCAAUAGUGGCUUUCUCCUUUGCAGUAGAUAAGGAAAAAUUCCUGGGAUCGAGUCUCAUGAAACUGACUUGGGUUGCUUUCUGCUGGAGC